rnacentral:rRNA from 1 species
UUUAUUUGAUAGUACCUUACUACUUGGAUAACCGUGGUAAUUCUAGAGCUAAUACAUGCUAAAAACCCCGACUUCGGGAGGGGUGUAUUUAUUAGAUAAAAAACCAAUGCCCUUCGGGGCUCCUUGGUGAUUCAUAAUAACUUCUCAGAUCGCAUGGCCUUGCGCCGGCGACGGUUCAUUCAAAUUUCUGCCCUAUCAACUUUCGAUGGUAAGGUAUUGGCUUACCAUGGUUUCAACGGGUAACGGGGAAUUAGGGUUCGAUUCCGGAGAGGGAGCCUGAGAAACGGCUACCACAUCCAAGGAAGGCAGCAGGCGCGCAAAUUACCCAAUCCCGACACGGGGAGGUAGUGACAAUAAAUACUGAUACAGGGCUCUUUAGGGUCUUGUAAUUGGAAUGAGUACAAUUUAAACCUCUUAACGAGGAACAAUUGGAGGGCAAGUCUGGUGCCAGCAGCCGCGGUAAUUCCAGCUCCAAUAGCGUAUAUUAAAGUUGUUGCAGUUAAAAAGCUCGUAGUUGAACCUUUGGCCUGGCUGGCGGGUCCGCCUCACCGCGUGCACUCGUCCGGCCGGGCCUUUUCUUCUGGAGAACCGCAUGCCCUUCACUGGGUGUGUUGGGGACCAGGACUUUUACUUUGAAAAAAUUAGAGUGUUCAAAGCAGGCCUUUGCUCGAAUACGUUAGCAUGGAAUAAUAGAAUAGGACGUGCGGUCCUAUUUUGUUGGUUUCUAGGACCGCCGUAAUGAUUAAUAGGGACAGUCGGGGGCAUCAGUAUUCAAUUGUCAGAGGUGAAAUUCUUGGAUUUAUUGAAGACUAACUACUGCGAAAGCAUUUGCCAAGGAUGUUUUCAUUAAUCAGUGAACGAAAGUUAGGGGAUCGAAGACGAUCAGAUACCGUCGUAGUCUUAACCAUAAACUAUGCCGACUAGGGAUCGGGCGGUGUUAUUAUUUUGACUCGCUCGGCACCUUACGAGAAAUCA